rnacentral:rRNA from 1 species
ACUCCUACGGGAGGCAGCAGUAGGGAAUCUUCCACAAUGGACGAAAGUCUGAUGGAGCAACGCCGCGUGAGUGAAGAAGGGUUUCGGCUCGUAAAACUCUGUUGUUAAAGAAGAACAUAUCUGAGAGUAACUGUUCAGGUAUUGACGGUAUUUAACCAGAAAGCCACGGCUAACUACGUGCCAGCAGCCGCGGUAAUACGUAGGUGGCAAGCGUUGUCCGGAUUUAUUGGGCGUAAAGCGAGCGCAGGCGGUUUUUAAAGUCUGAUGUGAAAGCCUUCGGCUCAACCGAAGAAGUGCAUCGGAAACUGGGAAACUUGAGUGCAGAAGAGGACAGUGGAACUCCAUGUGUAGCGGUGAAAUGCGUAGAUAUAUGGAAGAACACCAGUGGCGAAGGCGGCUGUCUGGUCUGUAACUGACGCUGAGGCUCGAAAGUAUGGGUAGCAAACAGGAUUAGAUACCCUGGUAGGAUAGCG